GGUGCUGGUGGCUAGCCCCACUGUGGGCAGGAUGGUGGGGCCCACUGAAGGCAUCUAUCAAGGCUUAGCAAGCCCUGGGGCAGUGAGCAAAGACGUGAUGGGUCUCCCCAUGAUGGCUUGUUGAAUAAACAGGAGAAAUUCCAGGGUAUGAGAACAGAGCUGGAAAAGCCACUCAGGUAAUGACUUUCUAAGGCGGUUAUCAUUGGGCACAAGGUUCUGAGAAUGCUAUCUUCAUCAGCCUGCAUCAGCACUUGUUGGAAGGAGGCCCAGGAAGGGAGGAGGCAAAGACUGGCUCUUCUGGCUCUCUUCUUCCCCCUCCUCCACUAUUAUACCUUCGGUGGGCGGAGACAGCCCCUGCGGCUUUUUUUUUUUUUUUUUUUUUUUGAGGUAUGAAGAGCCUAGCCACAUGUUGACACCAUAUUUAAUCCUGAAACAGGGUUUUCUUUUUUUGAUUUUCAAAGUAGGGGCUGGAAGAGGGGAUUCAUAAGUAGAACGUGGAAAGCACAAAGCAGAAACGGCAGAGAAAUGCAGAGUAAAGUUGGGUUACUAUCUUGGCAAGGGAGGGUGCCGGCAGGUGUUCAAUGAUGGUGUCAAGAAUGUCUUUCAGGAAGGUAGGUUCUGGAGGCAAGGGGCGGUGAUGGAGAAAACGGGGUGCGUGGAGGAGUAGGUGGCCCCACAUCUGCAGAGAGGUAGCUGCUCUGAGAAUUGCAACGUGAUUUUGUGCAAAAUUCUUCCUGCAGGAGUAAGGGGGAGGGACAAGAGGCACAUUGCUGUGUUUUGCGGACCUAAGAAUUCUGAGCUGGAAUGAAAGGCAGCUCACUGUGUCUUGGGGCAGCUAGCUCAGCUCCUCUACUCCGUCUCCCACUUUCUUCUUUAUUGUUAGUGACUAUCGUGAGGAUUAACUAAAAGGGCCCGGAGUCCCUUGGCAACGGGUCUCAGCAGACCCUGGGCAUGAUUAGCCCUGCAAUUACUCCACAUCUGGAAAAGCUCACUUCCCUCCAGCUGACCUCAGGCAGACAAACCUGAAAGCCUCACCAAUCAAACCCCUUCCCUGGAAGAGAGCACCACAGCUGGAAUGGGGGAAGAGGCUUCAAGAUUUACCCACGGAAUAAUCAGCUGGGAAGUUUGUCUACCCCAUCGUGAAAAUGGAGAGAAGAAUGUCCACCUCUAGAAUUUCUAUCAGAACUGACUGAGAAGAGAAAUGCAAAAGCAUACUGCACACUGUGGGGCAUCAAGUUGGAUCUUCCUGAGCCUGAGGCUCAGGAGGUCACAAAGGUAAGACAACAGAGAGGGUCAACUGCCACCACUGCUUAGUGCUUCCACGCCAGUCUCUGGGUCUCUGCUGAAUCGACGGGUAAACAUGGAUGACUCUUUACGGACAAGAGCAUGUCAGGGGAAGUGGUGGUGGCUGCGGCCUACAUCAGCUGACUCGCCACAGAGAGAGGAGAAGAUGUCGGUCUCGGGGUUGAUUCUGGUGCCUGGGAUGACCUACACACAGGACCCCUGAGGAAACCUGCGCAGAGAUGGAGGCCCACCAGGAGGGUGCACUGACUUUCCCUUCUCAUCUGCCUGAGCCCCCGGAAAGAGCCAAGCUAGGGCUGAUGUGCAUAUGGGCUAGCGUUUCCCAGUCCCCACCCUUUGCCAAGCACCACACUAAACGAUGACCAUUUGUGACCUCAUUUAAUUUUCCAAGCGCCCUUCAAGGUAGGGAUCAUCAUUCUCAUUUCGCAGGUGAAGAAACCAAAGCUGAGAGAGGCUAACUCAUUCCUCCAAAAAUCAUUUAGCUCGUAGGUGGCAAAGAUACAAUUUGAGACAAGAUGGGCUGACUUGAGAGUCCAUAUUCGUGCCGUCACACACCCCGCCCCUGUCCAAACAGCUCACCGGUCAGGAGCUACCAACAAAUACCGCACCUCCUACAAGACGCACUAAAUCAACGCGAGGAGAAGCCGGAGGCUGGCAGAGAGCAGAUCUUUAUCAAGACACUUCAGGAGUAGGAGAAAUAUUUCCACCCUCUUCCCAGCCAAAGGGUUGGCUGUGUUUGUGAGAUGAGAAACACUUUGUGGGGAGGGGCGGGAGGGUGCAAUCUCCAGCUAAAAUCACCACCCACACCAAAAUAAACCUGAAGGCAAACGGGGACCUCCGGGAUGCUGUUCGAUGGUUUAUGUGUGUGUAUGUGAGUACGUGUGGGGGAGAGGGAAAGAAGGAGGCGGAAAAGAGAAAGUAAUAUCUUUUUCUCAGACCCAAUGGCAUUUAUCAACCAUACUCUCCUCCCCAAAUGCAGGCUUCUCCCUCACUCACUUAUUACAUGUGUUCUCUUUCCUGACCUUGUGCAGAGAGCUACAGCAUGGUUCGGAAUGAGCACAGACUUUGGGGUGACUUUGGGGCCGGCCCACCUGGGUUUGGUCUCCUACUCUACCACCUGCUGAGUUGGCCCGUAAAUACAUAGUACGUGAAUGAAUGGGGAAAUAAUUGAACCUCCCUGAGAUUUAGUUUUCUUGCCUGGAAAGAAAGUCACAGUACCUGUGUUGCAGGAUCAUUACCAGGAGUGAAUGAGGAGAAGGUCGGCACAUAAUUAAUAACUCAAUAAAUGUUUGUUGCCCUGAUCAGAGCUUCUCAACCU